CCCUUAGAUGUCCUGGGCCGCACGCGCGCUACACUGAGUGUCUGAGAUACGAGUCUGCCUGGUCCGGCAAGGUCUAGGUAUCGCUAAAAGACACAUCAUGCUUGGGAUAGAUUAUUGCAAAUAUUAAUCUUGAACGAGGAAUUCCUAGUAAGCGCAAGUCAACAGCUUGCGUUGAUUACGUCCCUGCCCUUUGUACACACCGCCCGUCGCUACUACUGAUUGGAUGUUUAAGCGAGGUUCUCGAACUGCUAGCGACUUAGCUUCGGUGAGGUCGCAGUGUGGGAAGUGAACCUAGCUUUGGUGUCUAGAGGAAGUAAAAGUCGUAACA
rnacentral:rRNA from 1 species